rnacentral:lncRNA from 1 species
CCAGAAGCCGCGGGUGCCGCCCUGGGCGCGCGCGACGCGGCCAUUGCUGUCGGUCUGGACUGCCAGGUUGAAGUCGCACACGCGGAAGACCUUGCUGCCAUCAGGCGCGAUGUCGUAUAGCAGGUUGGCGGGCUUCAGGUCGAAGUGCAUGUAGCCGCGAGCGUUCAGGUGCUUGAUGAAGAGCGCCAUGGCACGCAGCAUGCACUUCAGGUCAGCCUCAUCCAUGAGCGAGUUGCCGGGGUACGGCAGCAUGUCAUUCUUGUCCUUGUUCUUGCCGGUGGGCGGGCGGUCGGUCGGGUGGUCAAUCAGAUCAAAGUAAUCGGUCGCCAGCCAGUUCGGCAUGAAAAAAGCAGAUAGAUGGGGACCAGUCUGUCAGGAGCUGAAAGAUUGAGAGGCACGGAUGGGCAGGUUAGGGGAGAGGAGCCGCAGUCAAGCAACCACAAUCCCCGUACAGAGCAUGCGCCAACCAGGCGCCGUCACCGCGCCCGCCCCGCGCCUCAUAGCCCAGCACCCACCAGCAGGUUCUCUACGGAGCCGCCCUCCGCACAGCUCAGCAGCAGCUCCGCCCGCUCGUCGUCAUCAGUCGGCAGCCGGUAGCCCAGGCACUGCACCGCGCGCUCGCAGCCCGCGGAAGCAGCCAGCCCUGCCAGCUCCUGGUUCAGUAUGCGGCGUAGUGCAGCCACAGCGCCCUUGGUCUCACACGCGUGCAGGGUCUUGCGUGCGGCCUUGACGGUGGUGCCGUCAGGCAGGGUGAUGAUCACCAUUUCCACGUGGCCGAAUGCGCCCUUGCCCAGCUCGCGCUGGGGGAUGCAGAGCGUAAGACCGUGCUGCUUGAUGAAGGCCUUGACCUUCUGAGGCGGUAUAAGUGCGCGAGGCGGGAGUGAGUGUACGCACGGGCAGAUUGCUUGAGCCUGGUCAGGCAGGCACGCCAAACAGAGUUGUGGAGGAUGCGCGAAGCAGUUUGCGUAUACGGUAUGCGCAUACGUGUGUAUGUGCGUGUGGAAGGGGGGCUGCACGGGGGGCUGCGGGUGUUCUAGUAUGCGCAAAACACCCGCACCACCUCGUCUUGCAACAUGCGUGUUUGGAAAGACAUGAGAACGGGUUUGGCACAGUGUCUGUACGUGUGACGCGUAUGUAUGCGUGUGUCUCACCUGGUCGUCCAUGCAGGCCUCGUCCUCUAGCUUUACAGUGCCUGGUGACCGUGCCCCCUUGGAGGCGUUAGGGCAAACAUGACCGCUGUCGGUGCUGGCGUCGGUAGUGGUGGUGCUGCUGCUGUCCUUACGGACGACGGCGGAAAGGGCGCCAUCGCUGGCGCUACCGAGUGCAGUGUCGCCAGAGCCGGCGGAUGAGCCGCUGCCCGUGCAUACGUCGGAGCGGUCCGAGCUGGACUCCAGCUUGGGGGCCAGCGCGGCGGCGACCUGCAUGCUAGGAGAGGGAAGGAGGACAAGGUGAGCAAGUAAGAUACUGGAGAGGUGUUCCCGACCAUUUUGAGGAAAGGUGGUGAGCGGAAUAAUGGCAAUCAUAAGGGGCGCGGCACAGGGCACUGGGUCUGUGGGCGUUGCGGGUACCGGUAGGUGGGUCAGCGACCCCGUGACUGCUCGGCCGCUUUCAUCCCGUACACACAGGUCUCACCUGAAGCGGGUUCGUAUGCAUGGGCAGUGUGUACUCAGAAGCCGAAGCAUGCAGCGAGCUGGCGGCUGCAGGGGUUGCCGAGCUGGCCGAGCCAAUGGCACUGAUGCUGCUGACGGUGCUGCGGGCGCUUGUGGCAUCUAUCGCCAGCGCUCGGGCUGGCGGUACCGCCGCUUGUGGAGGCGGCGUGAGGCGUCGCGUCGGCCGUGAUCAGCUGCAGAUCAUUGCGCGUAAAUGCCUGUUGGUGGCAAGCGGAAUGAGGGAAUGAGUGCGGGGGGAGUGGCGGGGAGGAAGGAGCAGGAAGGGAGGGGUGCCGCGUGCGGCAACCGACUGAAACCGCUUGACGGUCAAAGACAAACAUGACUUUGGGCGAGGCGUGAACAUCAUGUCCUGGUGCACACUUCGGCCACGGUCUUCGGGAGCAGCAAUAAUCUGCGCGCUUACCGCAGUCGCGUCGGAAGGCAACGAUAAAGCACUCGCAGGACGGCUUUUUGCCUUGUCGGCGCUUGCUUGGAGCUUACAGGAAGCUGCAACUUCCUGUAAAGCAUACGCCAGAUAGCGGUUCGUCGCCGAGCGAGCGCACCGACGACGGUGCCGGUGACAAGGGCGAUAAUGUUCUUUUUGACGUUCAUUUGAGCGAUCUAUAUGUGUGGAUAUAUAUAAAUAGGGGUAACAGGGUAAACAAGUCAGUUAUGUGCAGCCCGAACUGGUGGAGGCUCACGUCGAGGAUUUUGGUGGUCAAGUUCUGGAAAUAGCCCCCACAGCUAAUCAUAGUUGGGUACUUGAAUAUCAUAUCUGCCAUGGUUCAGCUUGACGUCGCUGAACUGAUGAACUGAUGAACCUACACGUGCUGCAGCGAAGACCAAGGGCAAAAUUUAAAAGCAUGAUAUAUCUGCUAGUCUACUUGUAGACGCAGUUAGAUGGCACUACCGUUAACCAAUGCGCUACUUCGCCGAAACGACUUUGGCCCGGAUCGCUUCGUGCUCGUUCCCUGCGAGAAAUAAACGUCUCUAAGAUAUCAUGGGAACAGCCUUGCGAUAGUGAAAGUCAGCUGUCUCGCCGUCGUGACUUUGUGUUUAUGGAGUUGGGGGAGAGCCAGGGUGUUGGGCAUGUUGGGUCAGGUGUGGGGCAUACGGCGAACGCUAGGGCUGGGGCUCGGUGGGGAUACCAGUUGUGUGGAGGGACAUGCCGCGGGCUGCGCAGAAGGGAUUAGGGGGAGGGCUUGGGGCCGCGUGUGCAGAGUCUAGCAGACCGUCACGUUUGUGGCGUCGCUCGUGGCCUGGUCGGCGGUGAGGAAGUGCGGCACAUGGUCGGAGGCGCUGGUAAGAAGGCUCAAAUCUGCGGUAAGCGAGGUACCGUAAUAGGUAUAGGGCGCGCAGGGCUGCGUAGGGAGAAUGACCACCUUGUGCAGUGGGGUGUGGGUUGGGCUGGAACCAGGCAAAGCUUUGCGAGGGCGGCUUGCAGCCGUCUCGCGUCCUGAUGGAACGAUGGAAACCCGGUUGGUCAUGCUGUGUGGUUGGCAGUUUUAUUGCAUGACUGGCGCACGCCCAGUAUCGGACACAUGUCUCGCACUCCGCAGUGAUUACGAGACAUCUCCCCUCUCUCUUUCUACACACACACACACACGCGCACACACACGCACGCACACACACACACACACACACACACACACACACACACACACACACACACACACACACACACACACACACACACACAUGCGGUGUUUGUCAAUACCUUCAACAUAUCUGACCUAUUGAUGGAGUGGCAGCCGUUGCGUACGGACCGUGGGCGGGCAUCCGCGGGCGUCGGGCAGCGGGGCGGGGUGGUCUGAGGGGGCGGGGCGCCUCAAGCAGCAGCACUCACUCGCUCGUGCCGAGUGUGGCGGCAGGGCGACGAAGUGCAAAUGCCGCCUCCGCGCUGCGCGACCGUUAAGGGAGCACAUGUGCGCCUACUUCACCGGCACUGGUGGUUGCAGCGCGGCGGCCCCAUGAGCAUGCCGGGACCCACGCUGCUGGUCAUGGCGCAGCCCUGCCACGUCUCCUCCACAACGCUGGAGCGCAGCCGCUGGGCGCGCGAGCUCAUCUGGCCUGCGGCCGCCAACCAGACACACCCGCGUCCGAUCCGCAUCUCCAGCCGCAGAACCUGGCCGCGGUGAGUGCGGGGUUGCGGGGCGUGCACAAGACUGGACCUGGCGCAUGUGUGACGGGUCCACAUGCACGGGAACGGACCACAGCAGUUAGCAAGGCUGGGAAGCCGCGUGACAUGAUUAAUGAGAAUGAGAGGAAGACGCAAUCUCAGUACACACCGGCAUUUGCCACGCGGAUGCCGUACCUGUUCCCAACUCUUCAGCCGCAACGUGACGUACCCCUCCUGACACGCCCAUGUAUGUGUCUCAUGCACCACCUCGCCACGUGGGCGCAACGCCCGACGGCCACNNNNNNNNNNNNNNNNNNNNNNNNNNNNNNNNNNNNNNNNNNNNNNNNNNNNNNNNNNNNNNNNNNNNNNNNNNNNNNNNNNNNNNNNNNNNNNNNNNNNNNNNNNNNNNNNNNNNNNNNNNNNNNNNNNNNNNNNNNNNNNNNNNNNNNNNNNNNNNNNNNNNNNNNNNNNNNNNGCUUCGCAUGUUGAACGCACUGCAUGCCUUGCCUCCGUGAUGGAUGCGUUCUGUGCGCACGUACGCAUUGACUGCAACCCGCAACAGCCGCCAUCAUGCAUUGGCCCCCACAACCCCUAAAACACCCUUGCACCGCCAUUCCCCACGGCCACGCACGCACGAUGCAGACGACCGUGCACCCGGCGCGGAUGGACAGGGUGAAGACCCUGCGCGCCGCGGCGGCCAAGCUGGUGAGAGGUAAGGAAGGGGGGGAGGGCGAGUUUCAACCUCAAGUAAGUCCAAAGGGGGCGCAGGAGCAAGGUGAAUGCUAAUGUAGCCAUGUGGGUAGUGACCCGGCCCCUCCUUCCAUUCAGGCCUAGUUCCGCCGGCACCCUUGCACCGCCAUUCCCCACGGCUACGGUGAAGGCCCUGCACCCGCCCGGCGCUGGUGGACAGGGUUGAGACGCUGUGCGCGGCAGCGGCCAAGCUGCAGGCGGCGCCGUCGGAUGUAUGCCGCCAAGCAGUGCAAGCAGGCGGGCGUUCAUGAACGCUACAGUGGCCCGUGUGAUGAUGGUGGUCGACACGCACGCACGCACGCACGCACGCACGCACGCACGCACGCACGCACACACGCACACACGCGCACACGCACACGCACACGCACACGCACACGCACACGCACACGCACACGCACACGCACACGCACACGCACACGCACACGCACACGCACACACACACACCGUGUAACACGCGCACUCACUGUGCGUAUAAUUUAGCAUGUGCUCGUCAACUCACGACUCACACCCAUUCCCUGCGUGCCCUUCCCCCGCCCGUCCUCACAUGUGAUGGACCUGCGCGCGCCCCUCCAUGGUAAACGGGCACGAGGCCAACUAACGGCGCCGCCGCCGCAAGACAGCAAUGCGGGUGGGCCUUGGGCCGCGACUCCCCGCUACCUGCCGCUUCCUGUGGUUAGCCUGCACAGCACAAACUGGCACAACGGCAUGCCGAGGGUCGGCUCAGAAGUGCGCCCUGGGGGUAAGGGGGCAAGGUGGAGGCCCUGGUGCGUACUGGCAGACGGUGGGCGGCCAGUCGCCGGCCCGUGCAGGGUUCUGGGCGUAGGGGCGCAGCCCUCCUGGGCUCGGCGUAUGGUAGGGUAUGGUUUUUAGUGUACAGCAUCAUGCCAUGCGACGCACACUGGUAGUUCUAACUGCCUUGAAGAGUUCCGGAACUGCUGGUACUACGGUAAUCAAGAUACCCAGGGGAUGUGUGAUGGGGCAGGUUGGCGAGGUCCCGUAGGGUGCAGCUGAAGAUACCCGGGGGGAUAAUUGGUUUCCGCGAUGGCGGUGACUAGGGCUGUGGUGACCUCCAAUAAUGUGAGAAGCAGAAGUCAGGCCAGGUCUGGCUGGACGAGGUUGAACGCGUGAAGCGAGGCGAACGCGGGGGCGCAACGACAUGAAGCGGCGGGCAAAUGGAAUCGUCGUGCAGUGCACGACAUUGUACAGCACACGGGGUGGAAGCAAAGGGGUAAGGGGGAAUGCGUGGCUCAAUGUGCGGGAGGGUGAGCUGGAGUACUCGCCCUGGAGAGGGCACCUAAUAAGCGUUCGCGAGGCCUCCACACGGAGCGCAGCUGCUGCUGAAUCUACCAGAGUCUGUGUGGUUCGCGCAGCACUGCACUCGGUUGCGUGCAAGCGCAGAGCUGAACCCAGCAGAGGGAGCAUUAUGGGUGGGCGGUGAGCAUUGCGCUGAGCUGGAAUGCAGCAAACCCGGCAUCCUACCUCCUUGUCCAACCCCCAGCACUGGCCUCUCGUCACGCCGUCUCACGCGUGCUGCAUGGCAGCGAGGAGGCUGGAGAAUGCCUGUGCUGCGCGUGGAAGCAGUCUGGGAGUGGCGCGAGAAGCAGUGCCUUGGCAAUAGCGCCGUUGCGGCGGAUCGGCGGCGGUGGCGGCGAGCCGGCAGUGGCAGCUCAGGAGCGCGGUGGUGAUGGGUGUGGGGGACUGGCGUAUGUAGUCAGAGGGCGGCAGGUGUUACAGGUGUUAACUCAUGACUGGCCACACUGACGCGUUCAGGCUGGACAUGCUGUGUCCAACAAGUGCUGACAUCGCAGCACAGUACACACUGGCUAGCUGCUAGCCUGAUGGCACUAGGGUUGCAACUUGCAAAGGUUGGCGGAAUGGCCGGGUCCGAAAGAUGAAGCUACUUACAGUUGAGCUGUAACCAUGAGGGCUUAAGACUGCCGGUACGUACCGCAAGCCGCUUCGGCUGAAGUCACGUCGCGCCGAGGCAUGAAACUCAUACGCAAGCCAUGCCAACCGACCCGUUAUUUGCUUCACAGUCCAACCACUGCCACACAUGCCCACGCCCGCCAUUCAUCCAACGCCCCAGACCAUGUCGUUGGUUAGUUUGCGGCACGGCAUACAGCACCCCGUCAAGUGCUGCAGCUCAAGCAGGCAGUCCUACCCCGCAAGGCACGUACAUGCACACUUCAAUGCUAUUGCAACAGGUACUACUUCAUACCGGAAAUGCAACAUACACGUGCGUUCGACCGGUGUGGGCGGUACACGGAUGUCCUACAACACACAAGUACAUAGACUUUUGCCGACUAUCCUGCUAUAACCGGUCAUUCGCACGCGAGAGCCAAAGUGAGCACCGCACAAACAACGCAAACGCAGACCUGGCCCACAUGCGUCCACUGCCAUUGGAUGAAGGCUGAAAGCCCAACCGUCCCGUCAAGUGCAAUACCCCUGCAGCUGCUGUGGGUGUAUAACGUCCCCAAUUGAGCCACUGUUCUCAAUGCAAACCCAAUGCCCUAGCGACGCACCACGGCCUGCCAGCUGUGCCAUGCAACCAUGCCGUGCAGGGGGAACCGCUGAUGCCGUGCGUGCCCCACCGCCCCUGCCCCGUGCCAUCGGAGCCAUCUGCCACCCGUCGUCACCUUCGCAAUAGCCACGUCACUACUCCGUCAGCCAUCGGUGUGCCAGGAUCUGGUCCGGAGUGGGGCGUGCGGCGGGGUUCUCCGCCACCAUCCACUCGAUCAGUUCUUUGAGCGCGGGCGGCGUGCGGCGGGGCAGGUCGCGCUCAUACUCCAGGUAGGCCUGGGUCCCGCCCGCCUGGCCGUGCAGCCCGGCGGCGUCCGCCAGCACCAGCCCCAUGGAGGCCACGUCAGCGGCCCGGGUGAUGGGGUGCUUCAGCUCCAGGCCCUCCAGCUGGCAGUACGUCUCCCACGCCCAGAAGCCGCGGGUGCGUGCCGCCCUGGGCGCGCGCGACGCGGCCAUUGCUGUCGGUCUUGACUGCCAGGUUGAAGUCGCACACGCGGAAGACCUUGCUGCCAUCAGGCGCGAUGUCGUAUAGCAGGUUGGCGGGCUUCAGGUCGAAGUGCAUGUAGCCGCGAGCGUUCAGGUGCUUGAUGAAGGGCGCCAUGGCACGCAGCAUGCCCUUCAGGUCAGCCUCAUCCAUGAGCGUGUUGCCGGGGUACGGCAGCAUCUCAAACUUGUCC